AUCAUCCGAAGCUUCAAACAGAAACCCUAACUCCGGCCUCGACUCGCCGGAAUCCAAUACCGUUUCCGGUAAAGCCACCUGUUCCGGAAUUAAGAUCUCUUCUUCGAAACUCCUGAUGACCGAAUCAAGUCCCUGAAUCGCCGGAUCUGGUCCACUAACCGGAUCUGAAUCGUCGAGGAUGUUCAGCAAUUCCUCCGGUAUAUGCCUUGUUUCCGGCAAAUUAUCUUCUCCAUCAUCAGGAUCAGGUUCUACACGAGUAGCCUCGGGAGAGUCGGAGUCGGGACCCUUAUUAUUGUCCGAGUCAACUCGAGCGAGUUUUGUAUUGGGCACCGAGUUAGCCUCUGACUCUUCC
rnacentral:lncRNA from 1 species